CUUCUCAGGGCAGCAGGGGCCCUGGGGGACCUCAGUGGGGUCGGGGCUGAGUCUUGGGGUCAGGGCCCUCACCCGCCCUUCUCUUCUCCUCCCAGAGCGGCCUUCUCAGACCUUCAUCAUCAUCAUGGGCAUCGCUGGGGGCCUGGUUCUGCUGGGAGCUGUGGCUGGAGCUGUGAUGUGGUGGAGGAGGCGCUCAGGUGGGAAAGGAGGGAGCUACUCUCAGGCUGCCAGCAGUGACAGUGCCCAGGGCUCUGAUGUGUCUCUCUCGGCUUCUAGAGCGUGAGGCAGCUGCCUUGUGGGGACUGAGUGAUGGAAGAUGUGUUCAUGCUCCCACUUCCUGAUCAAGAACCUCUGAAGAGGAGGCUGGCCCAGCCCUGCUCCCACACUUUCUGGUUCAGCAGAGGCGGGCUGGGCCCUCACUAUCUCUGUCUUUACUUCCUCAUGGUCUGAACUGCAAGCUGUUUUUUCCGCAUUGAAAUGAGGUUGUGGAGGUGACUUUGUUAAUUUCUUGCCAUGAAGGGUUGGUGGGUAAAUUCAAGGAGAAGAUUGUAAAUUUUGAGGGGAAAUAAAUAUAAGCACCAAGAACUUUCC